UAUUACAGAAGACACAUAUCUUUUCAACUAAAACAUAUAGGAAAUCUUGAUAUGAAGCACAACAUACAAAGACAGAGAAGCUUGAAACGUGGGGAGCUCAACCAAAGAGGCUGGUCAGACUGGGAAGCUUGAUCUCUCCCUUCUUGGACAGAGGUAUGGUGAAGUUCCCAAUCACAGGAAGGUCAAUGGUGAGACCCAAUAUCAACUCAUAAUCAAUGUCCCAAUCUGCCCCAACAUCCUUACACAAGGUCGCCAACACACUAUGUGGCACCUUCACUGGUACCUCCAGAAUGGUAACAUCGCUUGCCUUAAUCGAUCCAGGGUCCGGAACUGUCCCAGCUACAAUCUCCCUGAAUAAACAACAAUCAUAUCCAAUCAAACCCAAGUUUUCUUCUACAUCAAGCAAUCAAACCCAAUAAGAACAUGAACAAAAUUAGUACCUGCCAACACAUUUGAGGGUGUAGGAGAUCUCGCAGAUGGGGAUGGAAUGAUCAUAAGGGUUCUUGACAUGAACCUUGCCGAGGUACUCCGCAGCAUCGAAGCUCACCUUCCUGAAGUCGACAUCUGUGAGCUCUGCUUCUGGCUUUUCUACGUUGCCCAGUUUCUCAGUCACGAAGUUCUUAGCCUUGUCAAAUAACCCAGCCAUUUCCUGAAGCACUGUAGUAACAAGAGAGAUGGAUGGAAGAAGAAAUAGAUAGAUCUAAGCCGGAAAGAUAGAGUAGUUUGGGGACUUUGAAUUUGUGAUUAGGGAAAUAGGAUCCUUGGGAAUAUAUACACGCAGGUGGUAGGCAUGGUAGUGGAGUGGGGUAUGUGGGUUUCUGACACGUGUCGUGAGGUUGCCGUGGAGACGCGUGACGGUGUGUACGUGUCAGUUGUGUUGCCUCCGUGUUUGGAGAUCUGUAAAUCCGGCCGACCAUAGUUGGAAAGAAAAUGGAGAAGGUGUGUACGGAAGUCAUGGCUAAGAUUUAGAUAUUUUAUUUUGUUCUCGUUACCGUGAACGUUAAAAGAGUCAUGGUCUGGGCAUCAAUGAGAGACACCCCAGCUGGGUCCUUGCUCUUUUGGUAACAUUUUCAUUGUUUGGUUCUUCUCUGACCUAUUUUUUAAGAAAAAUAAACAAGUUUCAUACUUUAGGACUUCUCACUUGCUAAAGUUUCCUACUUUACUUCUUACAACACAAGUAUCAUACUUACGAAUUCUUUCAAAAUCUCACAUUCGCCUCAUUAUCUUGUGCUUCUUGUAAUUGUGUUAGAUAACAAGAAACGGUGCAGAUGCUCAUCACAAGAUUGUCAUGGUUAUAAGCACACAAAUUCGUAAACUAUAUUUAUUUUCAAGAUUUCAUUCUUGCAGUGACGACUUCAAUAUAUUAACCCACAAAGUGUUAACUGUGAUCAGCUGAACAGAGUCAGGAGUCAGAACCAGCAGGGGUAUUACAGAAGCCAAACAUAUCUUUUCAACUAAAACACAUAGGAAAUCUUGAUAUGAAGCACAACAUACAAAGACAGAGAAGCUUGAAACUUGGGGAGCUCAACCAAAGAGGCUGGUGAGACUGGGAAGCUUGAUCUCUCCCUUCUUGGACAGAGGUAUGGUGAAAUUCCCAAUCACAGGAAGGUCAAUGGUGAGACCCAAUAUCAACUCAUAAUCAAUGUCCCAAUCUGCCCCAACAUCCUUACACAAGGUCGCCAACACACUAUGUGGCACCUUCACUGGUACCUCCAGAAUUGUAACAUCGCUUGCCUCAAUCGAUCCCGGGUCCGGAAUUUUCCCAGAUACAAUCUCCCUGAAUAACAAAACAAUCAUAUCCAAUCAAACCCUGGUUUUCUUCUACAUCAAGCAAUCAAAACCAAUAAGAAGAUAAACAAAAUUAGUACCUGCCAACACAUUUGAGGGUGUAGGAGAUCUCGCAGAUGGGGAUGGAGUGAUCAUAAGGGUUCUUGACAUGAACCUUGCCGAGGUACUCCGCAGCAUCGAAGCUCGCCUUCCUGAAGUCAACAUCUGUCAGCUCUGCCUCUGGCUUUUCUAUGUUGCCCAGUUUCUCAGUCGCGAAGUUCUUAGCCUUGUCAAAUAUCCCAGCCAUUUUCUGAAGCACUGUAGUAACAAGAGAGAUGGAGGGAAGAAGAAAUAGAUAGAUCUAAGCCGGAAAGAUAGAGUGGUUUGGGGACUUUGAGUUUGUGAUUGGGGAAUAUAGGAUCCUUGGGGAAUAUAUAGACACAGGUGGUAGGCAUAGUAGUGGAGUGGGAUAUGUGGGUUUCUGACACGUGUCGUGAGGUUGCCGUGGAGACGCGUGACGGUGUGUACGUGUCAGUUGUGUUGCCUCCGUGUUUGGAGAUCUGUAAAUCCGGCCGACCAUAGUUGGAAAGAAAAUGGAGAAGGUGUGUACGGAAGUCAUGGCUAAGAUUUAGAUAUUUUAUUUUGUUCUCGUUACCGUGAACGUUAAAAGCGUCAUGGUCUGGGCAUCAAUGAGAGACACCCCAGACUGGGUCCUUGCUCUCAUAUCGACAUAGGCUUCCCUUUUUUUUUUUUUUUUUUAUUCAAAUGAAAUGUCAUUGAUACAGGAGAUGUUACAAGCAGUAUAAAUAAUAUAAGCAAGACUAUUAACGGAUCACUUAUAACAAAUCUCAGAUCAAAAUGCCCGAAAAAUUACUUCCUAAAAGAGUUACCAAAUUUCCGGUACACCAUGAGACAAGAAAAUAAUCAUCAAGACCAAAAGACUCGUCCGACAAACUGCCAACAGAGUUGGAAAGACAGCGUCGGCACCCUCAAUGGGUAGCGGCUUUAACCCCAUGAAGGAAAAAGCUCGAGUCAACUCCGCCUCCUGAUUAGUGAAUGCACGUGAUAAUUACGGGUGUAGACCUUCAUCACUAUAUCAGCGGUGCAUUGUAAUCCACCCAAGCACGACCACAGAGGGUCAAGUUAUUCAAAACAGAGAAAACAAACAGAAAACUAACAUAAUAAAACAAAACAAAAGGGAUGCAGCACAUCUCCUGAAUCGGCAUGAUCAGACUCAAUACUGGACUGGACAAGCCCAAGAGCAGUGUCCUAAGCCCAAUCCAAAUCAGAUACUGCCCAAAUCCAAGAUCGAGCACUCCAAACCAUCAGUUUCCAUCACAACCACCGCAGCCGACCCUCAACGCCUCCACCGAGCUACCAUCAGUUGACGAUAGAGACUGAAUCCCACCUGCCUACUUUGUCGUCGCCGUCGAAGCAUCCCAACUCAGAUCCGCAACCCACCACACCUUACCUAGCCAACCCAUGGAACAACUCGCCAACAACAUGAUUGAAGAUCCGAUCUGACAUCAGAUCACCAAAGAACCUCAAUACUUUCAGCUACCCGCCCAGACAAGCCCGAUCUAAAACAAGAAGACACCAGAUCGGGGCAUAUAACCCCCAAAAAACCCGAUUGGAUAUAGCCUCAAUACAUCAGAUCACCGGAUCGGGGCAUAUAACAUAGGCUCUCCAUUGGAUAGGUGAUUCUUUAAGGAUGGAAUGUUGAUACCUUUGGUCAAGGAUGAUCUUAUGUUCUAAUUUCAAGGACUAAAAUCUACCCGAUAUCUUAGAUAUGUCUUCAAAAUUUCUGUUUUUUACAAACACUAAUAUUAGUUUUCAUAUAUUUUUGAUAUUUUAUAUUAUAUUUAGUCUAUUUUUGGUCGAAUAUACUAUUUUUAUAUAAAAUUUUGGUAAACCUUACAUCAAUAUUUGAUAUUUUCUCGAUAUAUCCAUCAAGAUUUCUUUUUUUUAAAUCACCGAUAUUCCUGUGAUCGUCAACAUUUUAGUCCUUGUCUAAUUUAACUAACUACUCCAAAAAUAAUCUCAACCCUUGUACCAUUUCUUGAAAGAUAGAGAAGUCGUUAUUUCACCACUCCGUCAAAAAUACGUACUUUAUGUCACAUAAAUUUAACGUAGAUAUCAUUUAAGUGUCUGAGCUUCUUGGACGAGCUUCUGGAGAAAUUUUUCAGUGCUACGGGAGGACCACGUGGCAGUCUGACAUGAUCCUAUUUUCCAAUCAAAUUUAGACAUGUAGAUUUUCUUCACGAAAAAUUAUUUCAGCUAUUUUGUCAAAAACCAUUUUAGGUUUUCUGUUGUUUUUUUAAUACUAAACUCUAAACCCUAUACCCUAAACCCUAACCCUAAACUUUAAACCCUAUACCCUAGACCCUAGACCCUAGUUUGAACUUGUUAAAUACCCAUAAAUGUCAUUUCACAAAAAAUAGAAAAUAUUUGUUUAUAUUUUAGUUGUAAAAAAUCCACAUAUCUAAAUUUGAUUGGAACGUAGGACCACGUCAGACUGCCACGUGGUCCUUCUGUAGUAUUUAAAAAUUUCUCGAGCUUCUGAGGUAAAGAAAUAAGAGAUCUUUAAUGACGGCGGAUUAAGAUGCUAAAGGAACAAAUAUGACAAAAGAUUUACAUGCGCACGUCUUAGACCGAUUAGCACCAAAUUACUAACCAAAUUAGAGAAACUAGCAAACUAUAUAUGGAGGGAUUACAUGGCCGCAGGCAGUGUUUAGUUUGCCUAGUUUGCCAAGUACAAAUGAAGAUUCAACAAGAAGUGAAUCUGGGAGAAAAUAAUGAGUAAAAGAUCAACCUAGACAUAAAUUGCUUUCUUCAAUGACAAAGAAAAUGAACACUUCACAUAUAACAGUCUCUUCCAAAUGAAUAUUAAGCCAUUUCUUUGGUCUACAUAUGAGAAUUUUCAUAACUUAACUCGAUCUUCAUAAGAUCGAAGGGUUCGACUCUACCUAGCACUUCCUUUAUUCAGUCCUCACCAGUUUAUCAAUCUGAAUCCUUAUCUUUUUCUUUGGAAUCCUUCUCUUUCUCUUUCUCUUUCGAAUCCUUCUGCUCCUCAUUUGUUCCAAAUAUUACAUCCUUUAAGGUGGGAAGCUUGAUCUCACCUUUCCUGGAUAGUGGUAUGGUAAUGUUCCCAACUAUAGGAAUGUCGAUGAUGAGUCCCAGUUCCAACUCAUAGUCAAUGUCCCAAUCUGUAGCAAUGUCCUUAACCAAAGUAAUUAUUAUACUGUGUGGCACCUUCACCGGCACAUCGAUGAGAGUAUCGCGGCUCGCCUUCAACGAUCCAGGGUCUGGAAUCCUCCCGGAAGCGAUCACACUGCACAACACCUCACAUUAAACAGAUCAGAUACAAAACGAAAGAAGCAUUGGAUGGAAACUAACUAUAUAUACGCUGUGGUCGUGUAGGUCGUGUUGGUCCUGUUGGAUGAGGUUCCAUAUUUGCAUCCCUAACUUCUCCUCCAAGGCAAGCAAAAAUAGAUAUACAUUCUUCGUGGAUUAAUUGUAUGUGGCUAUUGGCUAGAGGGAUUCGAUUUUGAAUUUUCAAAUUGAAACUUCGAGCCAAAUUUGAAGUUUUUAGGAGUUCAACACAAUACUGUAAAAUAUGAACAACUGUUAGACAUAUAGCUGUGCUAUAUUUGUGAUCUAAUAUAUCUGAGUCGCCCAAUCACAUAACCUACAUUUUCAUUUGUGAUCUAAUAUACUAGAAAAAUGGUAUGAGGAUUAUGCAGAAUAACAAAGACAUCCCCUACGAUCCAAUACCUCUAGCAUCGAGAAACCAUUUCUCCUAUACCCAAGAGUUUUCCGACAUACCAACCCCUUUUAGAUCUGACCUCAUUUACAUGAUAGCAUGGCAGUACAUGUUAUAUAUAUAGACACACAUAUAUUAUUCGAAACCAACACCAGAUCGAUGUGGGAAAUAAUUACAUUAGGGAGUUGAAUGAAUUAAGGAAAUACCUGCCAAUGCUUUUGAGGGUGUAAUCGAUCUCGCAGAUGGGGAUGGAAUGUGAAUAGGGAUUCUUGACGUUAACCUUGGCAAGGUAAUCUGCAGAAUCAAAGCUCACCUUCAAGAAAUCAACAUCGAUCAGACUUGCCUCUGGUGUUGGCACAUUUGCUAUCUUCUCUGCCACAUAGUUCUUUGCCUUGUCUAACAACGACUCCUCCGUCUUAGUCUCCUUUGCCUCCUUCUCAACCUCCUCCUUCACCUCCUCUUUCGACUUAAACACAUCCAACAAUGACCUAUCCCUCUUCCCCUCCGCCUCCACCAUAAUCUCCUUCUUCCCCCCGGCCUCCUCAAUCGAGUUAGACAUUUUCAAAGCUAGCACAAACCAAUUAACCAAGAGAUUGAGAUAUAUAUUAGCUAGUUGAUUGUGUGAAUUAUAUAUGGCUUUUGAGGAAUCAUUUUGACAUUUUUCAAUUGUCUAUUUGAGACAGGGUUGAGAUCUCUUUCCAUAUCUUAAGGGUGGAGAGUGAUGAGUGAUAUGGCUGUGUUUUAGGUCAAAUGAGGCCUUUCCAUGUACGUACGCUACACCAACCAAUUUCCUCUUUUUCAAUAUUACGUUUUAAUUAUGUAAAGAGUAAUUUUAAAUACACACCCAUAAUCUCUUAAUACACACCCCUUACUUAAUACACUACCCAUCUAGUUUUUCAUUUCAAUAUUAUACUAAAUACACAUCCCAAAUUACCUAAAAUACCCUCAAU
rnacentral:lncRNA from 1 species